GUCUACCUUUCCUGGGCCUGCAGAUGCCAGAAUGCUGAAUUUAUUUGCCCCAGUGCAGAAUAUGGGCUGCUGCCCCUCCCCGGCUCCUGAAUCCCCGCUUUCCAUGCAGUGACCUUGGCUUCCUCGAGUGCCGCACAGUAAAUGAAAUGUGGCAAGGCCACAUGGAUCUUGAUAAAAUAUAUCAGUGCAUGAAUUGAUUUUCAUAUUGAUUUCCGUGGACCAGCAAGGCUAGUUGAGAUGUGGCGCUUGUGAGUCUAGGACCGAUGGAUGCUUUGCCCUAAGGGGAUGUGUAUAAUUCAUGGUGUGUCGACACUGAUGGCGGAGUGUGCAUUGGAAUGUGUGCUUGCAGCCACACGCACGCACAGGCCUGUGUGUGCCGACUUUCCAGGCUGCAAAUACGACGAUGGUCUCCUGCCUCGGUGGCUUUAAUUACCAAGCAACGGACAACCGAAAGAAGAGUGUCACGGCAUAAUCAAAGCUUGAUUUGCCUUCUUCUGCCAUUGCUUUCCCAGGUCCUUCUCUCAACUUCUGUGUAGACGUUAUCAGCAACUGUUCAGCUUGGAGAUGAUGAGAGAAAGGAGGCGUGGCUUCACCUGACACUGUGUGCCUGCCUGUGUUCAUAUAAAGAGAAUUAAGUCAGUUGAAAUCAUUGUGCUAAUUCAUUGCAUUUUCUGGCUUAACUGGAAAACCUUUUUUGUUAUGAACUCUACUGAAAUGCCUUGCAGCGUGGAGUCAUCUACCUCUGGUUUUGGAGGCAAAGCCAUUGAGUGCUUUGUCAUCCCGCCAUCUUGUGGCACUCGAGACUGGUACCCUGAUUCUCAGCAAUUACAUCACAGAAUUGGGAAGCAUGGAGCUGGCUUGGAUGAAUAUAGUCAGUAGUUCUCAGCCAGGGAUGGCUUUAUGCUCAAGGGUGCAUUUAGUAAAAUCUGGAGACAGUUUUGGUUGCCACGAUAUAUGUAGGAGAGCUGUUGCUGAUAUAUACUGGGUAGGGCUGGGAACAAUCCUCAACUCACUGUCUCCACACUCCUCUUCCCCACCCACUACAAAAAUGUACUUGGUCCAAAAUGACAGCAGUGCUGGGUGGAGAAUCCUCACCCUGAGACAAGGCUUUAAACAUUUCUUUUGUUUUUGUUCAAAAGUUUGUAUUAAAUUCUUACA